UCUUGGUCAUUUAGAGGAAGUAAAAGUCGUAACAAGGUUUCCGUAGGUGAACCUGCGGAAGGAUCAUUACAGAGUUAGGGUCUUCUAGGGUCUUGGGUAUUUAGAGGAAGUAAAAGUCGUAACAAGGUUUCCGUAGGUGAACCUGCGGAAGGAUCAUUAUCGUAGGGCUUUUGUCCUGUCGAGAUAGCGUCCUUGCCUAUUUUUUGGAGCACCGUCCGUUUCCUCAGCAGGCUUGCCUGCUACUGGGGACCCCUCAAAACUCUUUGUAAAUAUAGUAAUCGUCUGAAAAACAAACAAUAAAUCAAAACUUUCAACAAUGGAUCUCUUGGUUCUGGCAUCGAUGAAGAACGCAGCAAAAUGCGAUAAGUAGUGUGAAUUGCAGAAUUCAGUGAAUCAUCGAAUCUUUGAACGCACAUUGCGCCCUUUGGUAUUCCUUAGGGCAUGCCUGUUCGAGCGUCAUUUACACCCUCAAGCACAGCUUGGUGUUGGGCGUCUGUCCCGCUUCGGCGCGGACUCGCCUCAAAACGAUUGGCAGCCACUUCAGCGGCUUUGAGCGCAGCAGAAUUGCGUCUCUCGUCGCGGCGGAUGGCAUCCAUCAAGCAACAUCUAUAUCUUGACCUCGGAUCAGGUAGGGAUACCCGCUGAACUUAAGCAUAUCAAUAAGCGGGAGGAGCCUCCCCUCAGGGAGAAUUUAUUUACAAGGUUGACCUCGGAUCAGGUAGGGAUACCCGCUGAACUUAAGCAUAUCAAUAAGCGGAGGA
rnacentral:rRNA from 1 species